UACGGGGGGGGCAAGCGGUUGUUCGGAAUUACUGGGCGUAAAGGGCCAGUAGGCGGCCAACUAAGUCCGACGUGAAAUCCCCAGCUUAACCUGGGAACUGCAUCCGAUACUGGAUGGCUUGAAUCCGGGAGAGGGAUGCGGAAUUCCAGGUGGAGCGGUGAAAUGCGUAGAGAUCUGGAAGAACACCAAAGGCGAAGGCAGCAUCCUGGCUCGUAUCUGACGCUCAUGUGCGAAAGCUAGGGGAGCGAACGGG
rnacentral:rRNA from 1 species